rnacentral:rRNA from 1 species
UAACAUGAGAGUUUGAUCCUGGCUCAGGAUGAACGCUGGCGGCGUGCUUAACACAUGCAAGUCGAACGAAGCAUUUACAAGGAUUCCCUUCGGGGAUGAGAGGUUUAUGUCUGAGUGGCGGACGGGUGAGUAACGCGUGGGCAACCUGCCCCAUACCGGGGGAUAACAGCCGGAAACGGCUGCUAAUACCGCAUACGCCCUAAAGGCCGCAUGGCCUUAAGGGGAAAACUCCGGUGGUAUGGGAUGGGCCCGCGUCUGAUUAGCUAGUUGGCGGGGUAACGGCCCACCAAGGCAGCGAUCAGUAGCCGGCCUGAGAGGGCGGCCGGCCACAUUGGGACUGAGACACGGCCCAGACUCCUGCGGGAGGCAGCAGUGGGGAAUAUUGCACAAUGGGGGAAACCCUGAUGCAGCGACGCCGCGUGAGUGAAGAAGUAUCU